UGGAACAUUCGGUCAAAGCGGCAGUCGUAGGUGAAUAAAGCGGUGUCCAUUAAUCCGCAUAACCGUUUUGCCUUCACCCCCUGUUUUUCUCUCUCAUCCGUUAUCGUCCUUUACCAUUACCUCGGCCAUAUCCUCCUGCUAGGUCCGGCGACCUUCUCUCCGUCUACUGCCGCUCUGCCUACCGAGGCAGCUAUGUGACACGCCUUCCUCUUUCUCCCGAGGAGGCUGAUGGCGUGGAGGAGGAGCUCAGCAGACUUGCUCUCUUCUCUUGCAAUACCUCUUCCCCAACUCCAUGGAAAGUGGCAGUACCGGCGUUUUGCCUUGGACGCGCCUCCGGCUCCGUCGCGACCGGCAGCGGCCGCGUCUAGACGACAUCAGCGGGAUGCGGUGCAAGGAUUGUGAAGGAAAAAUAAUUAGUCCGCCGGGUCGUUCCGCCUUCUCCUAUCCCCUUUCUUAUUUCACGUCUAAUCUUAUCUUCUUUCUACAGCGAUGGUGGCGGCUGGCGGCGGUGGGUUCAAGGUCGCUGGGGAGUGCAGGCAUCCGUCAAGAAAAAACAGAGGCAACGCCUGAACCAGGGGAAGAGAAUAGCAGAAGAAUCUGACUAGAAAUUAGAGUGGCUGCACGCGUGCGAGAAGCACAAGGAUGAACUACGGUUCGUGCUCCCGUUCGUCCUAUCCAUCCAUCUCUCUCACCUCCCUCUGUUUCUCUCUUUAUUUCCAGCGCCCGUGCGUCCUGCUACAGGCUUCAUCAUCUUUCCCCUUCUUUCUGUAGCACCUGCGCUAUACACUUCUUCCCAGCAUGAGGAGGACGACCUGAAGCCUACCUUGCCUUGGAUGUGGUCAGCUUUGAGAUCAGCAAUCACUCCCCAUGUUCUUUUGUUUCUAAUCCGGAUACAACGGUACAGAUUUUGCUGCAAAUUUACAAUGUUUCUUCAAUAUCUUUUCUCUGUCUCUUCAUGGUUUCUUCUAUGAAUUGCACAUCGGAUCCUACUUAGUUUACCCUUUCAUCCAAUUUCCCUCUACCACUAGCUACAGAGGACAGGAGUCAACCCUAUAAGAGUAUACUGAGCUAUGAUGAGAAAAUGGUACUGCAAUUGUUGGGCUAGCUUGGCUCAUGAAUUGCUUUUGAAUUUGAUUGAAAGGUUAGACUUUGCCGGUGCGCAAUGAACGGUGUUAUGCUCUCAGUCCAACUAAGAAAUUGAUGCAUUUUGUAUUCAUAAAUUCAGGCGUUGUGGAGAUUUAAGUUUGAGUAGUCUGGCUACAUGGGACAGUGAGUUUACAUUGUUGCUAUUGUUUCAGUUUCAGUAUGCAGUUCCGCUCAUAGGCAAGGAGCCAAGAACCCGCAUAUCGUUGUGUUGGCCACACUUGGUUGAUUCCUCUCCGUCAGCGUCAUCCGUUAUAGAGGUCAGAUACUCAUCUUUUAGAUUGGAGAAAGGCAAGAAACCAAACACAUGAAAGCAUAGAACUCAUUUGUCUAAGGUUAAUGGAUUUCGUAGAAAUCGGUUGUUGGUUUCUUGCUCUUUCUCAUCUAACAUUAAUUUUCAAGUCACUGGUCACAGCCUUUUAAGUUAGUCACUCUAAUUUGACACUGCGGCAGCGGUGUUUUUGAGCCAGCCUUGCUAUGUAGGGAGGCAUUAUCUACCGUUUACUAAAGAUGGUUGGUGGGAUAAAGGAAAACACAAGUGAGGCAUUAUCUAUGGGGCCAGACAUUCAUCCUACAUCAUUGAGUUACUAUGCAGGCCCCUCUGCCUUGGACCAGUACAUCAUAUUUUAGAGCAUGUAUGUAAUGGAAGAAGAGCACAUCCUUCACAUCUUAAUUUGGGUAGCUUGAUCUAUCAAGAGAAUUGGAGAAUGACAAGGUAAUUGUCCGAAUGUUUUUUCCAUCUUUUUUGUGCUGCCUGGAGUUUCUCCAAUCUGAUGUAAUUUUGUGUUGCCUUAAGAUGUUCAGUUUUUCUUUUCUUUUCUUUUGCUACCAUAUGGUGUAUGUUGUUGUUUAUGGACCAGCAAACUGAAGUAGUGAGUCUAUAGAUGCUGAAUCCACAUCUAUAUGCCUGCCUUUUUUUGCCGAUUUGUCCACGUCUCAUGCAAAUUUCCGUCUUCUUAUUCUCUAGGUAACUGGACAGAAAAUGCCCUUCUACAGUGCCCCGAUCAACCCAAGAGCAUUAAACUGUCCAGUUAAGAUGCAUCUAGAAUAGAGUAUAAUCACAGAACUAUAAAAUUUAUUCUGGAAAGAAUGUUGUACUAACACUUUCAGUUCUGAUGUGCUUUGGGCUAUUUGGUGUGGUUGAGAAACGAAUUCAAUUUUCAGAAAAUAGGCUGGACAAGUAUUGAUAUAAUCUGGAAUAAGGUGGUGGCAGAUGCUAGAAGAUGAUCGGUCCUUUCAACUCAUUCUCACACUUCAGUGCUCGACACAAACCUGCUACUGGUACAACAAACAAUGGGGCGAAUUAUUGUGAAUUUCCUACGUAUGGAUUAUGCAAGUCUCAUGAAAAUGUUGGAGCGAUCCCCUCUUCUAGAUUAACUUUUCAGCUGGGUUUUCUUAAAUCUCAUGUGUGUGUUUCACUUGAUGGUUAAGCUUUAAUACCAUGUCUAUUUUUUUUAUGGUUGAGAUUCAGAUUUGUAACAGAAUGUUGUGUGAGAUCUAUUCUGGUUACAUAUCAAUGGAACCUGGGGCGACCUCUAUUCUAGAAA